GAAAAAAAUAAAAGUCCUGCGCCAGAUGGGUUCCCAGCUGAUUUUUACCAUGAAUUUUGGGACCUGGUGAAAUGGGAUCUUAAAGCUCUAAUUGAAGAGUUUGCUAGAGGCAAAAUUAACAUUGCCAGAUUGAAUUAUGGUAUCAUCACAUUAAUACCAAAAACUGCAGAUGCCAAACAGAUUCAAAAAUUUAGACUGAUUUGCUUGUUAAAUGUGAGCUUUAAAAUCAUCACAAAAGUGCUGAUGAACAUGCUCACUAAGUGUGUGUCCCCUGUUAUUUUUAAAACCCAAACAACCUUCAUUAAGGGUAGAUAUAUCAUGGAGGGGGUGGUGAUACUACAUGAAGCUUUGAACACUUUUCAUAGUAAAAAAUAUGGUGCUCUAAUUUUUAAGGUAGAUUUUGAAAAAGCAUAUGACAAAAUCAAGUGGCCCUUUGUGAUUCAGAUGUUGAAAGCCAAAGGGUCCCUGAUAAAUGGUGUGAUUGGGUAA
rnacentral:rRNA from 1 species